ACUCAGGGGGGGCAGGAGGGGUCCGCGCAAAGCACAUGGGUAAUUAGGCCGAGCGGGUUCAUUCGAACUGUGACCACUGCAGAGGACGGACGUCCCCGGAGCUUCGUAAACAAGCCAAAAUGGCUGCCUCCGGAGGAUAUCGUGUUCUUCCAGUGCUGUUUCAGGCCACCAACAGCCAUUUUCCGGUCAGCUCCGUGUCUCCACAAAACACAAGAAUGUACAUUACUUCUACCAGUCCUUGCUUCAUCUACAGAGUUAUCAGUAUCACCAAAGAUACUGUUGAAGUCUCAUGUUUGCUACACAAGGGUAAAUGGCAUGCAUUGUAUUUGUCAAAGAAUUAUUUUUUAAGCAAUCAACAUAGAGGUGAACAUCAAGAGUUUAUUUCAUCACAUACAUUCACUGAAUAAGUCUUUCUGAAAUAACUGAUAAAACAGAUACAUGUAUGUUACUUUCCAGCCCUGCUGGGCAUGAGCAAACCUAUCUAAGCAUGUGCUUACUUCAUACUUGGUGGUUCAUGUAUAUCCUUUAUUACAUUGCACUUUUUGUAGACAAGUAUGUUGUGUGCAUGUUACCAAAAACUGCUGAAACAAUUUAGGAUUUUUCGGGUUGACGGAAUUGACAGUGAAGGAGGAUUAAUCCACUGUAUUAUGUACCAUUUGAUGUAAUGUUGCACAGCACUCAGUCUCUGCAUUGAAGAUUACCUGUAUUUUAAAUGUUGUCUUGUAUCUAUGCAGAACUGAGUAGAUGGUGUCAUUGCUUGGAAAUGAAUAUGUAUAAUAGUCUUUAAUGUCCACAUGUUGCCCUUAGGUUCUAAUACUCAUUCCAAGCAUAGAUAUUAAAUACACGAAUGAACAAUUGUCCAGUAUUGUACUUACCUAUGUGAUUUGCCCUGAAGUAAGUUGUGAUCAUGUGUGUGUUCUAUGAACUUUGCUAUAGUCAAGCCAGGUUAUUAUAUGCUUCUUCAAGGAUUGUUGUGUAGAGGUUCUAAUGGACUUUGGCUGUACAGAAUGUAGCUUCAGGAAGACUGUAGCUGUAGAUUGCAUACAGAUCAUAUGUAUAUUUUGUAUAUUGUUCACAUUCAUCGAGUGAUACAGGUUUGCCAAAAGUCCAUUUCUUACAACAGUUCACCAUUAUGUAUUCCUGUAUGCCUUGAUCACAUUAUGAAAUAGACAGCAGUUUUGUGAUGGGAGUAUAUAGCUUGUAGUGCAGUAUCGCCUAAAGAUGACAUGUAGAGUGGAUUGUAGUUUGCGCUUCUGCACAGAAUCAAGCUUUACCUUUUAACUUUGUGCAAAGAGCCAAUUAUAACACAUCUAUGAAAGAAGAUGAUGGAAAAAAUUUCAUGUAUCUUUAACGUUUAGUUAUAUUUGUUGACAGCCAGUGUUGGACACAUGAAGUUGCAAGAAAUAUGUAUUUGAAAUACUAAUAGUCAACAUAUCUUAUGUUAUAAGCUACAACACUUUUUGUCUUGUGUGAUAUUCAAUGAUAAUAAAAACUUGAAUAUAAGAAGAAA